UACGUAGGGUGCAAGCGUUGUCCGGAAUCAUUGGGCGUAAAGAGCGUGUAGGCGGCCCGGUAAGUCCGCUGUGAAAGUCGAGGGCUCAACCCUCGAAUGCCGGCGGAUACUGUCGGGCUAGAGUCCGGAAGAGGCGAGUGGAAUUCCUGGUGUAGCGGUGAAAUGCGCAGAUAUCAGGAGGAACACCUAUUGCGAAGGCAGCUCGCUGGGACGUAACUGACGCUGAGACGCGAAAGCGUGGGGAGCAAACAGG
rnacentral:rRNA from 1 species